rnacentral:rRNA from 1 species
CCUACGUGAGGCAGCAGUGAGGAAUCUUGGUCAAUGGCCGGAAGGCUGAACCAGCCAUGCCGCGUGAAGGUCAGUGCCCUAUGGGCGUUAAACUUCUUUUGUGCGGGAGCAAUAAUGGUCACGUGUGGCCAGACGAGAGUACCGUACGAAUAAGCAUCGGCUAACUCCGUGCCAGCAGCCGCGGUAAUACGGGGGAUGCAAGCGUUAUCCGGAUUUAUUGGGUUUAAAGGGUGCGUAGGGUGUGAGGUAAGUCAGCGGUGAAAUGCCCCCGCUCCACGGGGUGAAGGGCCAUUGAUACUGCCUUGCUGGAAUGCGGAUGCGGGAGGAGGAAUGUGUGGUGUAGCGGUGAAAUGCAUAGAUAUCACACAGAACACCGAUUGCGAAGGCAUCUCACGAAUCCGCGAUUGACGCUGAUGCACGAAGGCGUGGGUAUCAAACAGGAUUAGAUACCCCAGUAGUC